CCUACGGGGGGCAGCAGUCGAGAAUCAUUCACAAUGGGGGAAACCCUGAUGGGGCGACGCCGCGUGGGGGAAUGAAGGUCUGCGGAUUGUAAACCCCUGUCAUGUGGGAGCAAAUUAAAAAGAUAGUACCACAAGAGGAAGAGACGGCUAACUCUGUGCCAGCAGCCGCGGUAAUACAGAGGUCUCAAGCGUUGUUCGGAAUCACUGGGCGUAACGCGUGCGUAGGCUGUUUCGUAAGUCGUGUGUGAAAGGCGCGGGCUCAACCCGCGGACGGCACAUGAUACUGCGAGACUAGAGUAAUGGAGGGGGAACCGGAAUUCUCGGUGUAGCAGUGAAAUGCGUAGAUAUCGAGAGGAACACUCGUGGCGAAGGCGGGUUCCUGGACAUUAACUGACGCUGAGGCACGAAGGCCAGGGGAGCGAAAGGGAUUAGAUACCCCAGUAGUC
rnacentral:rRNA from 1 species